rnacentral:lncRNA from 1 species
GUAGAUGGUCAUAACUUUUUUAUAUUUGCAGAUUUGGUAAGAAAAUGGUGGUGCAAUGACAUUAAUAUCCUUUUCACCGGAUCAUACUAAUAAUAGCCACGAAAAUGAAAAAAAAGAAGAUAAUGUUCCUCAGAUUCAUCACAAAUUUUCUAUUUUUCACAUCAAACGAACAAAAAAAAAACAAGAAGAUAAAGCAAAGCAACCACAAAAAAAAAUAGUAAGACGCAUUUCUUCCUCACCAAACGCAGUGCCGAAGCAAAUCAAACAUUGAAUAGAUAUAAAAUGAGAAGAAGAAUGAAGACGAGGUUUCAGGAGCACGGCGGUGGAGCUGAGGAUUACAAUGAUGACAGCAGAGGCAAAGGCGGAGGCUUACGGGAAUACGGCGGUGGAGUAGAUCAGAGGCUUACGGAACACGACAGCAGAGCAUAUGCGAGUGAAAUACUUGUAUUGUUCACAUUUAUAGAGAGAUGAAUCAAAGGAUAUGUCACGUGAAAAAUAGAUAUCUAAAUCCUUGGAUUUUUACCAAAAAAAUAGAGAAAAAUUAAGUAUCGAUUGAAAAAUUUAGAGUACAUGAUUUCAUCAGAACUUUCGUCGAUAAAGGAACAGUUCAUUAUUUAGGGAAGAUGAAUGAUCACAUCAGGAAG